rnacentral:rRNA from 1 species
UUUAUGGAGAGUUUGAUCCUGGCUCAGGAUGAACGCUGGCGGCGUGCCUAAUACAUGCAAGUCGAGCGAACGGACGAGAAGCUUGCUUCUCUGAUGUUAGCGGCGGACGGGUGAGUAACACGUGGAUAACCUACCUAUAAGACUGGGAUAACUUCGGGAAACCGGAGCUAAUACCGGAUAAUAUUUUG